CUGAAAAUCAAAAAAGAGAAAAACAAAAGUGAAAACAUGUUGACUGUUCAAUUGAUCAUGCAAUCCGGAAAGCCAUUGGUUACGAAGCUCCCAAUCUCAGCUACCGUAUAAGAGCUAAAGGCUGAGCUUCAGAGCCUUCUCAAUAUUGAGCCGGAAACAUUGGAGAUUUCUGCAUCUGAUGUAACGUGUGCCGAUUCAGAUCUUUUAAUAGAAGUUGCUGGUCUAGGCAAAAACAAACAAAUUAAGCCGGUUGUGUCUUGCUAUGAAGGCAACAAUUUUGUGGGCUUGAUACUAUUUUCCCUUGGGGGCGAGGAUUUCGCCGAUCCAUUAGUCGAUAAUUCGGUGUCAGACUCAAGUAUCGAAGAUAGUGAAUCUUCCGUCAUUGAGCUAUCCUCGGGAUCUAGUGGCGGAUCCGUCCAGCCAUCCACUAUUGAUUGCAAGCGAGGUAUUAAACGAAAAGCCCAAGGACAUGAAAUAACCAUAGAGACUAAACGGAUCAAAUAUAUUCUCGAAUCCAGUGAGGAGAGUCUAGAAAACCACUCGUAUGGAGAUAUGCAGGAGGCAUGCGAUAUGGGAGGCUGCGGAAUAAAGUCCUGACCACGCCCGGUUAAAC